ensembl:lncRNA
CCUUAGGACACAUCUUUAUAAUUAUAAUGAUCCAUCAUUUUGUAUGUCACCAAAACUUUUCUUGGAUUUUAAAAUUUGUCAAUUUGGGAUUGAUGGUAGGUAGUAAGUUAUGCUCAGAGUUAUGCAGCAUAAAAUGGAUGUCAUUUGCAAUCAAAUAUCCUGACAAAGCAUCAGAGGACAAGACGGAACAUCUUGGGACUCAACACUGAAGAUACUUUGAAGCAUUAAUAAAGUUUUAUUUCAGGUAAAACAACAAUAAACACCAUUUUACAGAAGGACAUUACAUCUUCCAUAAUACCAUAUUACAUAGGCCUACAGGUUGUAACCGAUAAUGCGGCAGAAGCUAUACUACUAUAGACUAUAUCGUUUCACUCUAGGAAGUGACUGGCAACGCUUUAUUUUCCAAACCACUUUUGAAAUUGAUUGUUUAAUUUUUUCAGUGCAGCAUACAUAAAAAAAAGAAAAAGAUGCAAGUGAAGCUUUCUUGAAAAACCAUAUAAUACAGUUUCAGUGUUCAGCACGGCAAUGAUCGGAUAACGCCUAUAUUAUGUCUGCGUGGAUGAAACGAUACAAUUAGCCCCCGAAAACGUGUGUAGUGUACUCAAAAGGUGAGGAGUUCAUUAAACCUUUUUUUCAAACCAAGAGGGCAAAUGCAAACGUAUAUGCAUACCUAAAGACAGUUGUUAUUAAGCCUCAUGUCAUACGCAGUGUAACACAGCGUGUAACAAAGAAUACAAAUACAAUAUUUACACGUUUUACUUGAAAUGUAGCCAAUACAUUUCUCAAUCCAAUGCAUUUAUUUCCCUUUUUCUUUAAAAACGGCAUCAGUAUAUUGUUAUCAACGAAUGGCAAAACAAAUGCCGAAUUGCUUUUAAUUUCAACUGUCACAGUGCUAUAUGUGCAAUAGUUCCAACCCCCCUCUAGACCACCCUUCAUAGACUAAUGUGUUUAUCAUUAUUGACAAAACAAGAUAUUGGAUUCAAACGGCGCUGUGGUCGUGUGAACAUGGCCCCUCGUUGAAGUCAAACACACAUAUGUUUUAAUUUCACACUGUGGGCUGUAUCGUUCUGGUGUGGAGCACUAGUGUACUCAGGGGUGGACCAAAACAAAACUAAAAAAAAGAUCUGCUACUCAGAAAACGUGUGCAACGAGGAGGAGUUAUCAAAAAUAAUCAUUGAGCUGCUAACACAACCAGCGACAACUAAAAGCUAUCGGAACAUGCAGCUCAAUAUUUACCCUCUACUGUUUUCUCGCUUUUUUUUUUGCCAUCCUAGCGAUCGGAGCCUCCCCAUUUGAUCCUAUUCCUCUUUAACUGCUCACACCCACAUUGCCGGGGAGGACAACCCCCAAACAGCUGUGAGAUAACUUUCAAGUUUACAAUUCUGUGUCCCAUCUAUUUGUAGUAAAGAUUCAAAACCGCGGGAUCAUAUUUACAUUUGAAGGCUGAUUUUUUUGCGCAUUCAGGCAAAGCAGGGUAUAUAAUUAAGGUCAAUGCAGGCGUAGUAAAGUGAUCUUAAAUGCUGGAAUGUAGGGCAAAUAGAUCUAUAUAUAUUUUUUAAAAGUGCAUUCUCAAAACUUUAGAGGGACGAAGUAUUACCUUUUUAGUCUAUUUUUUUGUGUGAUAGCCAUCAUUUGGAAUGAUGACAUGGAUAUUAAAGCUGAGACACAGUCUCCCAAACAGCGGAGCACAUCUUAAAGAGACUUUUUUCAUGAUUGCAAAAAGGGGGAAAUAUCAACCAGGGAAACAUGGUGUGGCUGUUCUUUGAAUUUUGUCUGUGUAGCUUCUACGGAUGUGUGUACUCUGUAUUGUGGAUGUGUGUGAGUUGUGUCUGUGUGUUGAAGGUCAUGUGAACUCUUUCAGAACAACAGUCCUCCCGCUAGCGAUCCACAGUGUUUAGUGGUUCAUGGUUUACGCUUGCUGCCUUUGCUGGCUGACAGUGCAGAGCCAUGAAGGUGUGGUUUCAGUACGUCUCAAAUUCAUUAAUGAAUGGAAGCUGUGGUCUUGAUGGUAUUUCACAUUGAUUACAAAGUCGGAAUUGUAUUUUCACACAAAACACAGCCAAGGCAACUCCUCCCAGACUAAUUGACAGUCAAACCCUUUUCUCAUUACUUUAAAAAGAAAAGCAACAAAUAUGUCAACACAUAGAAUCAUUGGAUUGUGAGAACCACACAUUUUGAAGGUCUCCUCACAAAGACAUGGUUUUCAUGUCUGGUAAAAUACACAUCACGAUCUUUGAUAGGGAACAGAAGGAGCUUAACCAGGGAUUGUCGAAGUUAAGAUGGAACGAGACACUGACUCUAUUGCCUUUGUUUAGAAACUCUCACAUAGAUUAGCUCAUGCAUGGAAGCACCAGUGCUUAGAUAUUGCCCAUGUUCAAUACACAAACAGACCCGCACGCACGCACGCCGCACGCACGCACACACACACACGCACGCACGCCGACACACAAACAAGCACAUAGGCAAGAACACAGACUUCUGGGUUGGUCUUCACCGGUCAUGAUAUUGCAGCUCAAAUUGUAAGAAAAACAACAACAUUGUUGUGGUGGCAUCCAUGUCUUUCAACCGGUUGGCUUCUCAGAAAACAACACAACACAAAAUAUCUGCGUCAUAUUAAUAAUUGCCGUUUGAAUACCAUUAUUGUGUGCAGUUACAGUAAUUGCACCCUCAACCUGAUAAGGUGUAGAGAAGAAGAGUAUCUUAAAAUAUUGCCGUUUGAUUAUUUUUCUGAAUCGUUCUGCAUUCUUUUUGUUCGUUUUUCAUUGCAUGUGUGUCCUUGUUUUGUGUCUUGGCAUGAACUGGAGCGUUGGUGGGAAGAUGUAGGCAUAUUAAAAUUGUCCAUUAAAUAUUUUUCUAGAUGAGUAUAUUGUACAUAGAAAUAUACAUUCUUAAAUAGGUAGCUAGUAACAAACACAAAUCACAAUAUAUAGCAACAGUGAAGUCCUUUCGUUGAUAUUGUGACAAUGGUAUUAUAUGUGUGAUCAUCACCUUAUAAAAAGUAAACAAAAAAAUUGCAAAUGAUAGCCUGAAAUCUUAGCUACCAUCAAAAUACUCUCACAUGCACUCACAUAUGUACACUCCCGAGCUCUCACGCAUACACAUACACACCCACACGCACACGCACACACACACUUUUGUGAGGACAAUAACUUAAAGAGAGUGAAGUGAAGUGUCCUUAUUCAGCUGCAUCCUUCAUCGGAAAAUCUGUGCCCUCGUUGGCCGGGACGUCCACCUG